ensembl:lncRNA
UCGAAAAAAAAAAAAAAGUUAAUUUAUGACAGCUUAAACAUACUGAAUGAUACUGUUAAAAAAAAGAAAGUGUCAUCAACAAUCUAGAUGUGUGAAACAAACUUCUUUUAAAUACACUUGCUCAGAUUUGUUUUGAACAUACUAUCUAAUAUAAGUUGUGCUAUAUAAAUACACAUACUCACGAGGAAUAAAAGACUGACCUUUCUGACCUUUAGUCUUGACAUCACAAACAUUAUAAAAUACCAAGAAAUUUCUGAUGAUUCAUAAGUAUGUGCUUAUAAAAACAGUCACAAUUUAAUAUCCAUGUUUUGCAAAUCAACCAGUGUGACCACUUUAAAUCAAGACACGACAGAAACGUGGAAAACGCGAUACAUACAGCGAUCUGUUUUUAUUCAGGACCUAUAUUUGUAAAUCAUGCUAAUCAAAGGAUUAUUAUUAAAUUAAGAUUACAGUAUAAAUUGCACGCUGAAGUUAACGUUAAAUGACUCAGUGAGGCCUGAGCAAAUUUAAAACGUUCAGCGAUCAGAAUCAAAACUGGUAACAGUCACUCAUUUUUUAUAUAUAUUAAAACUCACCUUCUCUAUAACUAUAACAAAUCUGGAUGAAUAACCAAACUCUGCUAUUUUCCGUCGAUAUCUGGACGAAGCUCUUCGAGAACAGAAAGAGCUUGCGGAUGUUGUGUACCUCAAUGAACUGCGAGUUCCUUGAUUCAAACUGGCCGCGUACACGUAAUUCAAAAGCAGCCAAUCGGAGUUCUCGGUGGACUUCAAACUAGCCAAUCGGAUGGUAGGGCGGUUAGCAGCGGGAGCAUGGCGUCUGUCCGAGUGUGAGUGCGCGUGCGCGGUUUGUUAAUUUAACAAAUUUUCCCACUGUGUUUAUGGCUACAGAAUCACGGGUAGAACUAAUGUUCUCGUUUCACUUUAUAGGUUGUCUUUAAAGACACUACUGAAAAAGACACUUCAUGAUGUUCAGUGCUACAGUCUUACUCUCUAGCAUUCCUAUACCCAGGCUUUGUUGCCAUGGUGAAAGCAUGUGGUUUCCUGGCGUUGCCAUGGGGAUUUCCUCUCUGAACAUUUCUUCAGCAAUCGUACACUUGUCUCUUUCUCAAUCACUCUGCCUUUUUUCUUUCCCUGUGAUUGGUGGUCUCCCCUGGUGAGGAUCCUGGGUGAUAGUUGGCGUGACUGUGUGAAGGACAGUUGAUGAGUCUUGAUUCCCUUCAAAUGAGGAUGAACGUUUUUUUUAGAGUGACCUUGAGCAAGCGUGGCCUCGUUGGCUUUAAGUCUCCUCUCACAUUUGGACACAGUUUUGCACAAAUGAGAGUACACAUUGAGCAGAAAUGAUCAGCUAUAGCUGAUUAUAAUGGGCAUAUUAUGGCACCCACUCUCUCUCCACCCCCACAUGCACAUGCAGUUUCUUGUGCUUGCGUUUAUGUGAUAUAAUGUGCCCUCAUUAUGGCAGCGGUCUUAUUAAAUAGCAUCUGGGUUAAACAACAUGAGAUGUGAUGUGUAAUCUCUCUACCGCUAUUUCCUAUUAAAUCGGAAGCUAAAAAAAUAUUCAGAAAUAUCCUGUGGCAUUCACCCCACAGCUGAGUUUGGUAAAUAUUUUAACACCCUUAAAAUAAGAAAAUAUGUGUUAUGUGUAAUAUGACAUUUAAAUUUUGUGAAAAAUUAAUUUAUAUUUAUUAGCCUUAGCCACAAAUAAUCAGCAUGAUGUUUUUUUCCUACAGAUGUUUUACGUGGUUGUACAAAUUACAAAAAUUGUGCUGUAAUUACUCAUUUUAUCUAAUUUAUGCAUUUAGCAGAUGCUUUUUUCUGCCUUUAAGGUCUUGUUCUAAAUAAUAGUCUGUCAUGUCAGGAUGUCGAAAGCCGUUCCCUAAAAAAAAAAAAAAAAAAUCUUUUAUUUUGUCUUUUUUUACUGGAAAAUAUUUACACAUUCUGAAAACAAGAAAAAAAAGUUUUCCUUACCCCAUUAACAUUUUUGUCCUCAUAAGCAUUAAUUAAACAAAAAUGUUAUGCUUGCUAAAAAUUUUAAGCUAAAAUUUUAUUUUUUAAAGCAUUUUAUGCUUGAAACAAGAAAACUCUGCCAAAGGAGUAAGAAAAAAUAUUUUCAAAUUUCAAGAUAUAUUCUCUAUUUCUCUAUAAUAAGUCGCAUUGAAAGAAACACUUGAACACUUUAUUUUUUAAAUAAAUCUUAAAAGUACAAAAGUCAAGAAAAUGGUCAGAAUAUUAUUCAGAACAAGUUUUUAUACUUACUGUAAUUUGUAAUCAUAUUUUAAUCACAGUUGACAUAAUUGUGUUAAUUUAUAAAAGACAUUUUACAGCACAUUGACAUUUGGUUAUACCUGAAAAUAAGAAACUGUGCUGAAGCUACUGAAAAUCCUGCUUCAGGGUCACUGAAACAAGAUAAUUUGAUUGAGAUAUGUGUUAAUUGGCUUGAUGAAUUAUUUUCUCAAUGCCUGCAGCUUAAAAUGAUCUGAAAGACACUGGACAGGGAGACUCUGCACUGGUAAUUUCCAGCCUUGUAGCGCUGUCCUAGCAUGUAUGUUUGUGUGUGUGUGAUUUGUAAAGGCUCUUCACAGCAGGUGUUCUUACAUAAUAUUACUGUGAAGUGUUCCAGAAUAAACUUGUGUACCUCCCCCAAACAUUCUACAUUUAUACUGAGUAAAUGCUGUCAUGCCCGGAACUAAUUCAUUAGUCUCUAAAUCAGUGGUGUUUAUCUUUUUUCGGCUCAACUAGAUUCCUCUUGCCAGGCAGUUUCUGUCACAAGUCAGUUCAAGGUCUAAAUGUGUUUACAAAUACCUCUGAUCAUUGAACAGCCUUUGUGGUUGGUGUAUAUUUGUGUAUUGAGUGUGUGCAUGAGUAUGUUGUUUGUGGUUUGGAGUAUGUGAAGGCUCUGGCUAUGCCAGAUCAGCGGAAGUCCUUUCAACACCUCUAUCAACAUGUACUUUCUCUCCUCCUCACUUUCCGUUUGUUCAUUUGACCUCUAAUAAAGGUCACUUCCUCUUUAGUAAUCCCAUAUGCAGUGUAUGUGGGCUCAGGUUUUGUUUGCGUGUUGAGUGUAUCCCUGCUGUGUGUGUACAUGUGUAAAUAUGCAUUUGGAAACAAUAAAUGUGAGAGUCAACAGUGAGGACAGAUUUAAAUUUAAAAAGGCAGGAUGAUUUGCAUGUGAACAUCAAUGUUUUCUGUCUGACUUACUACGUGUGUGAUUUGAUACUGUAUUAUUUAUCAAAUGGAUUGCUCUGGUUGCCUACUGGAUGCUGAUUGGUCAAUAUAGUGUUCAUGCUACAAUAAAAAUAAAAUGUUCUAAUAUAAAAUUUUGAUUAGAUGUGCCACAUGACUCAUUCAUAGUAAAAUGUAAAUACACAGUUUAUUUAUAAUGACAAGUUGUUAAGUUGCUUGGCAACCAUGGAAAGCCUACAGUUAGGAUAAUGGGCUCAAAAACUUUUGGCAGAAGAAUUGUUUAUUCCAAUACAUAUUUAGGAAAAUAGGCUUUUCAAUAGCUUGGGGUCAGUAGAGUUGGUGUUGGUAAAAGUUGGUGGCAGUAAAGACAUUUAGAAUGUUGCAAAAAUUAAAGGUUUAGUUCACCCAAAAAAUGAAAAUUUGCCUGCGUUUUACUCACCCUCAAAGCAUCUUAGGUGUAUGUGACUUUCUUCUUUCAGACGAAUCCAAUCGGAAUUAUAUUAAAACAUUUUCCUGGCCCCUCCAAGCCUUUUAAUGGGGGUAAGUGGGUGUUGGUUGUCAAAAGUUCAGAAGAUGUGAAAUAAAGUGUGCGCAUCUUUAAUAAAACGUCCCUCCCUCCGGGGGUGAAUAAAAGCCUCCUUUAGCGAAUCCAUGCAUUUUUAAUAAAUAUCCAUAUUUCAAACGUAAUAAAUUUCCUGGCUGAAUGUCGUACGCGGAAGCCGUUUCGUCUCCGUUUUGGAGACAAAACAAAACGCCGGUCACGAAUUUGAAACACAAAAGGAGGAUUUGUAAAGAAAAAUGUCAGAGCAUUUCGAUAUAAGUCAAGAGGAGACUGGUUUUCCUUUGCUAAAGUAAAGUAAAGUAAGCUCCUGCAUUUCUCAGAGGUGUGUGCACUACGCAUACGUCCUACGUCAUCUGCCUGCAC